rnacentral:lncRNA from 10 species
UAUUAUCCCCAGCUCGUUUCGUACCCUCUGGAACACAGUAGACACUGAGUAAAGAUCUGUUGAGUGGAUGAUAUAUGGGAUUAACAUGGUUUGGGGUUAUCUUUAUUCUUUUUUAUUUUUAUUUUUUAGACAGAGUCUCUGUCACCCAGACCAGAGUGCAGUGGCAUGAUCUUGGCUUACUGCAACCUCCACAUCCCAGGUUCAAGUGAUCUUCGUGCCUCAGCCUCUGGAGUAGCUGGGAUUGCAAGCGUGUACCACCAGGCCCAUUUAAUUUUUGUAUUUUUAGUAGAGAUGGGGUUUCGCCAUGUUGUCCAGACCGGUUUCCAACUCCUGACCUCAGGUGAUCCGCCCACCUCCCAAAGUGCUGGGAUUACAGGCGUGAGCCACUGCGCCCAGCCAGGUUUUGGGUUAUCUUUAAAUAAUCUUUUUUCUUUUCUGCAAUUCUACAGGAGCCCGGCAUUAUAAAAAGACAUGGUAGAUGGGGUCUUGAUAUGUUGCUCAGGCUGGAGUGUAGUAUGCCAUGGUCCAGUAGCGUGACCAUAGCACACUACAGUCAAGAACUACUGGACUCAAGAGAUUCUCCCACCUCAGCCUCCCAAGCAGCCGGGACUACAGAGGCACACAACCAUACCUGGCUGUUCAUGGAUUAUUAACAGUGGGCUGAGAAUUAGCUUUCGAUCUCCUGGGCUCUGCUGGUAUCAUGUGUCUUCUGUUUCCAAGAAUCCAGAUUGGAAGAGUAACCUUUGAUGAUACUGAUGUGGAUAAAAUACUUGGCCCAUAGGUAAGCCUGAGAAGGGACAGGCAGAAAUAAGUAAGUUUGAAUAAACACUGUAAUAUACCAC